UUGAUCCUGGGUCAGGAUGAACGCUAGCGGCAGGCUUAACACAUGCAAGUCGAGGGGUAUAAGUCUUCGGAUUUAGAGACCGGCGCACGGGUGCGUAACGCGUAUGCAAUCUACCUUUUACAGAGGGAUAGCCCAGAGAAAUUUGGAUUAAUACCUCAUAGCAUAGCGAGUUGGCAUCAACUUGCUAUUAAAGUCACAACGGUAAAAGAUGAGCAUGCGUCCCAUUAGCUAGUUGGUAAGGUAACGGCUUACCAAGGCUACGAUGGGUAGGGGUCCUGAGAGGGAGAUCCCCCACACUGGUACUGAGACACGGACCAGACUCCUACGGGAGGCAGCAGUGAGGAAUAUUGGUCAAUGGGCGCAAGCCUGAACCAGCCAUGCCGCGUGCAGGAUGACGGUCCUAUGGAUUGUAAACUGCUUUUAUACGAGAAGACACACUACUUCGUGAAGUAGCUUGACGGUAUCGUAAGAAUAAGGAUCGGCU
rnacentral:rRNA from 1 species